UUGCUACCUGACCUAGCGGCGGACGGGUGAGUAAUGCUUAGGAAUCUGCCUAUUAGUGGGGGACAACAUUCCGAAAGGAAUGCUAAUACCGCAUACGCCCUACGGGGGAAAGCAGGGGAUCUUCGGACCUUGCGCUAAUAGAUGAGCCUAAGUCAGAUUAGCUAGUUGGUGGGGUAAAGGCCUACCAAGGCGACGAUCUGUAGCGGGUCUGAGAGGAUGAUCCGCCACACUGGGACUGAGACACGGCCCAGACUCCUACGGGAGGCAGCAGUGGGGAAUAUUGGACAAUGGGCGAAAGCCUGAUCCAGCCAUGCCGCGUGUGUGAAGAAGGCCUUUUGGUUGUAAAGCACUUUAAGCGAGGAGGAGGCUACUUGGAUUAAUACUCUAGGAUAGUGGACGUUACUCGCAGAAUAAGCACCGGCUAACUCUGUGCCAGCAGCCGCGGUAAUACAGAGGGUGCGAGCGUUAAUCGGAUUUACUGGGCGUAAAGCGUGCGUAGGCGGCUUUUUAAGUCGGAUGUGAAAUCCCUGAGCUUAACUUAGGAAUUGCAUUCGAUACUGGGAAGCUAGAGUAUGGGAGAGGAUGGUAGAAUUCCAGGUGUAGCGGUGAAAUGCGUAGAGAUCUGGAGGAAUACCGAUGGCGAAGGCAGCCAUCUGGCCUAAUACUGACGCUGAGGUACGAAAGCAUGGGGAGCAAACAGGAUUAGAUACCCUGGUAGUCCAUGCCGUAAACGAUGUCUACUAGCCGUUGGGGCCUUUGAGGCUUUAGUGGCGCAGCUAACGCGAUAAGUAGACCGCCUGGGGAGUACGGUCGCAAGACUAAAACUCAAAUGAAUUGACGGGGGCCCGCACAAGCGGUGGAGCAUGUGGUUUAAUUC
rnacentral:rRNA from 1 species